rnacentral:rRNA from 1 species
AGAGUUUGAUCCUGGCUCAGGAUGAACGCUGGCGGCGUGCUUAACACAUGCAAGUCGAACGGAACUGUCAUUUUUGAAUCUAUUAACUUGCUAAGGGUGGAAAUGUUGGCAGUUUAGUGGCGGACGGGUGAGUAACCCGUGGGUAACCUGCCUUACACAGGGGGAUAACACCUGUGAAACAGGUGCUAAUACCGCAUAACAGGAGGAGGCGCAUGCCACUUUCUUGAAAACUCCGGUGGUCGUAACAUGGACCCGCGUCUGAUUAGCUGGUUGGCGGGGUAUCGGCCCACAUAGGCGACCAUAAUUAGCCGGUCUGAGAGGGUGGACGGACUCAUUGGGACUGAGACACGGCCCAAACUCCUACGGGAGGCAGCAGUGGGGAAUAUUGGACAAUGGGGGGAACCCUGAUCCAGCGACGCCGCGUGAGUGAAGAAGUAUUUCGGUAUGUUAAGACCUAUCAGCAGGGAAGAAGAAAUGACGGUACCUGAGUAAGAAGCCCCGGCUAAAUACGUGCCAGCAGCCGCGGUAAUACGUAUGGGGCAAGCGUUAUCCGGAUUUACUGGGUGUAAAGGGAGCUGCAGCCGGCACGGCAAGCCUGAUGUGAAAGUCCCGCGGCCCAACCGCGGGACUGCAUUGGGAACUACCGGUCUGGAGUGCCGGAGAGGUAGUCGGAAUUCCUAGUGUAGCGGUGAAAUGCGUAGAUAUUAGGAGGAACACCAGUGGCGAAGGCGGCCUACUGGACGGCGACUGACGCUGAGGCUCGAAAGCGUGGGGAGCAAACAGGAUUAGAUACCCUGGUAGUCCACGACGUAAACGAUGAAUAGUAGGUGUGGGGGGCCAGGGGCCCUCGGUGCGGCAGCAAACGCAGUAAGUAUUCCUCCUGGGGAGUGCGUUCGCAAGAAUGAAACUCAAAGGAAUUGACGGGGACCCGCACAAGCGGUGGAGCAUGUGGUUUAAUUAGAAGCAACGCGAAGAACCUUCCCAGGCCUUGACAUCCUCGUGACAGGGCAUGUAAUGUGCCAUUCUUUCGGGUCAGGGGAGUCAGGUGGUGCACGGUUGUGGUCAGCUUGUGUUGUGAGAUGUUGGGUUAAGUCCCGCUACGAGCGCAACCCCUGCCCUUAGUAGCCAGCGCGUAAAGGGGGGCACUUUAGGGGGACUGCCGGGGAGGACCCGGAGGAAGGGGGGAAGGACGUCAAAUCAUCAUGCCCCUUAUGGCUUGGGCUACACACGUGUUCCAAUGGGGUAACAGAGGGAGGGGAAGCCGCGAGGGGGAGCGAACCCCAAAAAUAACGUCCCAGUUCGGAUUGCAGCCUGCAACCCGCCUGCACGAAGUUGGAAUCGCUAGUAAUCGCGGAUCAGAAUGCCGCGGUGAAUACGUUCCCGGGUCUUGCACUCACCGCCCGUCA